CUCAUUCAUAUUGAUAAAUAAUAAUAAUUACAACAAUCAUUCUGAAAAGUUCAAUUUAUUUCAUAAAUCGACAACAAAAAUAACCACUAAUCCAUAAUUUCACAGUACCAACAACAUAACAAAAUAAUGUAAACUAUUUGAACCGUAUAACUAGUGUUAUUUUGUCUAAUAAUUAGUGAGUUAGAUAGCUAGCUAUAAUACAAGACAAUAAAGGGUACAUAAAAACUUCUGACACUUGAACAUAUGAUGAAGUCUUCCACAUGUCAAAUAUUUCGACAUCAUAACCUGAAAUAAUAAAAUAAGAUGGAUAUCAACAUUAUUUAUGAUAGGACAUAGUAUUACUACUGCUUUAUAACAUUUGACUACUAACAAUCAGACUCUGCACUUUGUCUAUGCACUUAUUUGUAACAAUAGUCCUAUUUGCAAGAAAUUAAAUUGUAUAGGCACAAUUUCGAGCUGGAGAACAAAAGUAUAGAUCCCAAAAUAUAUGUGCUUCAAAACUUAGAUAUGCAUAAAGAAUAAUUUAAAGAUAUUCAACUUAAAGUAAUUGGUUUGAAUCUAAGCUUUUCAUGAGGUGCAAGCUAGAAAGAAACUUUAAAGAUUAUAGCAUUUAUACAAGCUUUGCCAACGUGUAUUAUAUUUGCGUUCAAUAAUUACCUAUAUACUUUUAUUUGUUUUGUUUUUGGUUAAGCCCGCUAAAUGAAUAAGAGAAAUUACAUGAAGUUCCUCAAAUAAAAAAUGCAUAGAGGAGUACAAAAUCUAUUUUAAAUUAAGACUACAUACUAAAAGUUUACUUGGAGAAAGAAUCAAACAUUUAUAAACUAAUAAAAUCCUCGCUAGCUAAGUUACAAAUUAAGAGAGAGCAUACUAAUAAACAUUUACAGUGAAGAGUUGCAGAAACGGGAAUGGGCUUUUUGAGUGUUUGUACAUACUUGUUAGAUUUGCCAGAGAAGAUUUCAGGGAUUGAGAAUUCGAUUUGUUGUUCCUAUUGUAUAACAUUUUGCUUAGUAAAGUAAGGUGGUAGAGUUUUCUACCGCAUACAACAAAAGAAAGUUGUAAAUGACCAAACUCGUAUAUUAACAUUCCAUGGAGUACGCAAACAAUCAGAAUGCAAAUAUCGAUGAAAUGAAAGACAAAAACUCAUGUCGAACCUGGCUUGUUGGGUGUUUCUUGUUUUGCUUUCUUUGCCAGAGCCAGGAGCUACUUAGGAGAUGGAGCUGGUCUCUUUUUCUUUUCAACCUUCAUCAUAAAACAUCAAUCACAUAAAAGACAAUGCUAAUUAAGAUAAAUGAAAAAAAUGAACAAACAUAAAGAUAAAAAAUUUAGUACUACCUCUUUUUGAUGUCUCUUCUUCUAAAUCUUCAUCUCCAUCCAAAUCAUCAAAAAAAUCCAUUACUUAAGGACCAUAAAAAUCCUAGUAAUCCAAAAUUUAAAAAAACUACCUACACCCGGAAAAAAUAUAAGAUAAAGCAUUUCUCCCUGUAUUAAAAGGUAAAAUCUACAUAAUAAGCAUCACAAAAAACUUUAUGAAUGGCAUAGGCACAUCACUGGAGACAUCAUCACUACCAUCUUCAUUAUCCGAGUCAUCUUCAAAAUCAUCAUCAUCUUUGUUAGAUGUCGGUUCUUUUUUUGGUUCUGCCACCUUCGCAUUUUUCUCAAUAAAUGCAACCUUAGUAAGUGCAGACUUUUUUGAAUCAUGCUUUAUAUCCUUCACAUUAUCCUCAAGUUUUCCAUUUAUGCAUCUAAAACAUUCUCUUCAUGUAAAAAAAUAUCACCUCUAGAAUCAAUUUCAUCAACGCUCAGAUCAUCAAUUGUGCAUACAAUUAAAUACACACUCCCAUUUGUUUUAGUCAUGACUCAUGUAAAAUUUUAAACUCCUUUUCAAGGACCAAGUCAAACAUCAACUAAGGUCUAUCCUCUGCCGGUAGAGUUCCAAUGAUGUAAUUAUUUUCUCCAACAGUUAGGCGUAGAGGAACAUGUUUUACUUCUUUGGCAUACUUCACUUCAUCUAUUGCAGCCUACAAAAUAAAGAUCCCUAAUAGCCAUUUAAGAGUAAAGCCACAUUAUGCUAGCUUGAGAAAGAACACAAAUAUAAUUUAUUUAUUUUUAAAAAAAGAAAGCUAACCUUGUAAAUAUGAAUGAGCUUAUAAAGUUCAGGCUUGAUUUAGAAAUCGUCUUACUUUCACUUCAACACCUACACAUAGCUCAUGUGAAAGAUAUGUCACACUUUAAUAAAUUAUGUUCAUAUGGUGUAAUUUCUGCAUCAUGAAAAUAAUUGACCAAAACCGUUAAGGUAUAGAUUAAAAAAAUAAGCACAUGUGUUAGUGGUUCAAUUUAUGUAUAUACAUAUACAAACCGAUCUAUACCUUUUUCUAGUUAUUUGGUUUUGAUUCUAGUAUGCAAUUUUAACUCCUAUUUUCUCUGCAUCUAGUUGCUAGAAACAUAAAAAAAUUCCUUUAAAUGAUACAAACAUCUGUAGCAGAAAAAUCAUGACGUCUUAAGCCUUCAAGAUUCAAUCCAUGAAGCUUAACUUUUUUUCUCAGAUACAAUAAUAUACUUUGGAACAUCGUUAGAAACCUGGAGAACAAAAUGACUAAGAUCCUAAAAAGAUAUGUGAUCUUAAAUAUAGUUAGUGUGUUGCAGUCGUAUAAUAUAUGUGGAUCUUUUUCAUUCCUUGGUGGUGGUUCAGUGGUAAGAUUCUUUCUUAAUUUUUGAUGUCUUUUAAUUCUUUGAAAGACUCAAUACUCCUCGUAUGAUAAAUUAAGAUAUCAAUAGUUUCAUAUUUUGGUUGUUUUUCCUAAAUGCAAACAUAAUUCAAGAUAGCAAUACAUCUGUAAUUGCUAUACUUUUAAGUUUGUUUGUGAGAUGCACCUCAUUAAAGUUUAGUUUCGAACCACUUACUUUAAGUUGAAUAUAUUAAAAUUAGGUCUUCUACAUUUCUCAGAUUGAAAGCACAUGAACCAAUACGGUAAAUUAAUGAACAACAAUAGCUCCUGUAGUGUGGCCGUAGUCCUGUAUGUGAAGAAUUUAAAUUAUCAUCUAUCAGUUAUACUAAAUUUCCAGAAUAGGUCAUGCCUCAUGAAAAUGACUAAAACGAAAUAGUCAACCACAACAUGACCUGCAAGAAAUGUGGUGUUUUUCACUAGAAAGCAAUACAUAUUCUUUCAAUACGUUAAAACUAAAGUGUAUCUAUUUGAAGAUACAAAGAUUUAGUUGGUUGUGUAUAUACAAGGACAUCAAUUAAGAUUUCAGUCUCAAGUUUAUUCAUUUCCAAAUUUUCUAUAAUGGAUCUAAGAACGGAUUGAAGCUUUUAUCUGUAAGAGUUAUUGGCAUUCCACACAAGUUGAAUUAGAUUAGCCUUAUAUGAAACAAAUGCAUUAAUACUACAAAGUAGAAAUAUAUUCUUUUGCUUUGAUCGCUCAUUUAUUUCCUAUUAGUAUAGUAAAUUUUUAAUCAAACAUGAGUUCAUGAAGGAAUUUUUUUAUCCCUUAUAAACUUAUUAGUGAAUCAAAAGCUACUUAAUCUUUGCAAGAGAGUGAUAAGCAGUAUAACACAAUUAUAGCAUCCAAAUUACAAAUGACAUAAUAAUGCAUGAGGGAUAUCUUAAUAAAAUCAAAUUUCCUAUAACUUCUGGGAUUAUAUUUAUAGGAAAACAAGGAAUUUCACCUCAAAGGGAUAAGGGGCAGAACACAUAGGGUACAACCUCCACUAAUAAUACUGAUAAUUAUCACUAGCGAUAGUAAUAUUUUUGAGAUAGAACAAGAAAUAGUAUUGUUAUACUUUGUGGAUACACUCUACUCCAAGAUUUUCCUGAUCGGGACCUAGACUUUAGGUACUUUUUUAACACAUGAAUUUGUACAUCAGCAAAUCUACACAGGAAAGAAGCACAUACAUGAAGAAAGUAAUCUGAAGAUCUCAUUCAGUAACCUCUAAAAAUUCAUAAGCAUUUUUAUUUCCUAAAAUCUUAUACUCUUAGGAAACAUAAAUUGAUUGGAGUACACACACUAAUUCACCAACCUCUAAAAUUUCAAGAGAAUUUAGAUUUCCUAGCUUCUUACAAUUCCGCAGCAAUAAGACUCAAAGUCCUUCAAAUAUCGAUAGUUGAUGUUUGGAUAAAAGACAACUAGAAGGGACACUCUCCUCUCAUCUUCAAUGUUUCUCUCUUUGGUGAAUUCAACAUACAUAAUCUAAUGUUAUUCCUGUUUGAUCAAAAUAUUCAUCCGAGAACCUACGUUAUUUGGUAAUCAUACAGACAUAUAUUCAUGUGCGCUCUAGUUAUAUACAAACAUGAUUAUUCAAGAAAUCACCAUCCAUGUUUUUACAUAACUUCAAUUAGACUACAGAUCACACAUUAGUCACCUUAUAAUGUAAUAUAUAUUGAUGUUUUCAAGAAAUUAAAACAAAUCUCAAUCACAGAGAGAUCUGAAUGCUAUAGAUUCAGGUAAAAAACAUCAAUUUUUAUUAAUGAUACACAGAGAACUUCUGAACAACCAAAGUAAAGAUAAAAGAAUCGGCGAAACAGAGGAAUCAAAUCAAGUGAUUUUCCAUCAAUUCAACAGCAGUCAGAGAUCAUAUAUUAUGAUUUAACAAACUCAAGAAAUCUAUAAUUUCACAAAUCAUAGAUUGCCAUAGUUAGACAUCACAAAAUGCAAUUUGACAUGGUAUCAAGUAUUUCGGUACUUGAUAAGAAGAAUAUUUUACCAAAAAAGACCAAAAUGUUAAGGAGAAGAAUUAUUAAGGUAACAAUCUGAAACUUACAUGAAUGUAGAAGAUGAAGAUGAUGACAAGGAGAAGAUUUAAACAUCGGUGGUUCAGCAAUAUCGACCUAAAGUCAUGACUCUGACUAUAAAUAGAUGAUGUCUAGUGAUGGGUAAGGCUACCAUAGAAGAUGAUCAGCGUAUAUGGCAGUCAUGGUGCCGCGAGGCGGAGAGCUUUAGAGCAGCAAUGUGGAAUUAGAAUGAGUAGGGUUUUUAGUUAUUUCUUUUUGUUAAUUAUUGGAGGAAACAUCUAAAUUCUAAUAGUGGUGAAAAACUAGGAGGGAAAAAUGACAAAAUUGUUUUCAAUUAGUAAUUUUUACGUGCAAAUUAUUUUUAUUGUCGGUAAAAAAUAAAUUUUAGUGGCCAAUGUUUAUGGGCCAGUAGUAUCUCAAUGUAAAUAAUUAAUUAGUGGCAAUUGACUUAUUAUCAUUAAAUAAUUAUCGCUAAAAGGCGCCUUUUUGUAGUAGUGUGAGGUUCAUAUGCAAGGCAAUACUAGCAAUACUAAUGUGGGAAUUGUGGAAAAGGAGAAAUGCAAGAAGGCAUGGAAAGGAAAUUACUUUUUAUAAGCUAGAGCAAAAAUGUCAGACCAUAAUAACACAGCUUAUAAGAAGUAAAUACCCGUGGAUAACAGUUCCUAAAGGGUGGGACACAAUUGUAGAGGUACUAAGAAGAUACAGGCCAAGAUUGCACUAUCACGCUGUGAGGUGGAUAAAACCGCAACAAGAUAAAUUUAAGUGCAACACGGAUGAAGCUAGCAGAGGUAACCCACCCUGGAGUAAGUUCUUACAGUUUCUGUAUUCGAGAUUACAAUUAAAGCUUGAUAUAUGCUGAAGCAGAUGCUUUAGGGGAUAGAAACACUAUGAAAGCAGAGACGAUAGCAAUUCUACAGGCACUUAGUUAUUGCAAGAGAAACAAUCUUCAAAACAUCAUUGUGGAAACAGAUUCGUUAGGAAUAACAAAAAUGCUUAGACAGGAAUGGAGGAUCCCAUGGGGCCAGGCAGAUGACAUACAAGAGAUAUAAGAGUUACAACAACAUGUUCAGGCACACAUACAACAUGUAUUCAGGGAAGCAAAUAAUCUAGCAAAUGAGGCAUGUGACCUAGAGGGGAAGAUUCAGACGCAAACAUAUCAACAACUAUGUAAAGGAAUUUUAAAUACUGAUAAAGCCCAAAUACCAUCACUGAGGAUUAGAACAAGGAAGAUUACAGUACAUGGGCAACAUCAUGAGUAGAGAAAGGAAUAAUAACAAAGCAGAACACAGAUAUGAUAUGUACAAUCAGUUUUGCCAAUACAAGGCAUACAUAACUGUGCAAAAGACUACGCUACAUAGCAUGAGCUUUCUCAACUUACAAAUUCCACCAGCAAAAGUUGAUGCCUUCAAAUUCAGAUGGUAUCUGGAGCUGAAGAAGAGAGCACGCUUCUUGGAAUCUCCUUCUCUGCCUCAGCUGGAAAUAAGGAGAUUAGAGGUGGAUGAGAGACGGCAAAAAGAGAACAGAGAAGAAGGAACUCACUCACUUGGAAUCUCUUAUACAGGAAGAUGCAGAUUUGGAGAAAGGAAGAGCUGAGGAGAAGCAGAGGCGGAUGAAUCCACAACACAAGCUCAACAGGUGAACAUAUUGAAGAAAGAGCCGGACCAAAUAGGGUUA
rnacentral:lncRNA from 1 species